ensembl:lncRNA
GAUACUGGUCCCUCUGGAAAAUAAGCAGUGCUCUGAAGGAAGAGAUAAUGGAACAACUUAUAAUCACUAUAUGGUGAGACACAUCCCCUUUAGCAAGGUGGAAAACACCCGGGUACUGCCUUCCGCUCAAAUAUUUCCUGGUUGACUGUUUCUCGGAGCUCCAUCUCAGAGAUGGUGAUUUUGGCUUACCCCAACAUGAUCAAUAAAUACAGAUGAUUCACAUACACUGGAUUUUAGACUUACAUCAGAAAGGUAAGAAAGAACUCUCCCUGCCUGAUGGUCUUCAAGCUGGACAUUGCUUUGCUUUCGUCUUUUCCUCCCUGCCUUCUGACUUGAACUGGAACAUUGACUUUUCUUGGGUUUUUAGCCUGCUGACCUUUGGACUGGAGCUAUACCAUUGUUUCUCCUCGGUCUCCAACUUGCCAAUUGUAAAUCUUGGAAUUUUUAGCCUUCAUAAUUUCACAAGCCAAUUCCUCAACCAGGCAGGAAGGACCAGUCUCUUCCUUUCUCUCUCUCUUUACCAGAUGAAUCAAGUUGAAAGAGUGAAACCAUUUUGAACAAUAAAUAGACCUACACAUAACCCCAUUGUGUCAAUAGUUCUCUGAAACACAUCAAAAACGACUACCUACUUUAGGUUGGUAUCCAAAUCAAGCUCUCAAUAAACACACUCAACUAUUGCCGUCAUUUUGCAAGGACAAAAUAAUGUUAUGGAUGGAAUUAGACAUAGAAACAUUGCUUUCAGACAAAAGAGCAUGAUCUUCUUUACUGAUUAAAUGGUGUUCUCUGUUUUUGACAUGUACAUAUACACGUAUAUUUAUG